GACGAACGCUGGCGGCGUGCUUAACACAUGCAAGUCGAACGGAAAGGCCCUGCUUGCCGGGUACUCGAGUGGCGAACGGGUGAGUAACACGUGGGUGAUCUGCCCUGCACUUCGGGAUAAGCCUGGGAAACUGGGUCUAAUACCGGAUAGGAGCCAUUUUUAGUGUGAUGGUUGGAAAGUUUUUUCGGUGUAGGAUGAGCUCGCGGCCUAUCAGCUUGUUGGUGGGGUAAUGGCCUACCAAGGCGGCGACGGGUAGCCGGCCUGAGAGGGUGGACGGCCACAUUGGGACUGAGAUACGGCCCAGACUCCUACGGGAGGCAGCAGUGGGGAAUAUUGCACAAUGGGCGCAAGCCUGAUGCAGCGACGCCGCGUGGGGGAUGACGGCCUUCGGGUUGUAAACUCCAUUCGCUAGGGACGAAGCUUUUUGUGACGGUACCUAGAUAAGAAGCACCGGCUAACUACGUG
rnacentral:rRNA from 1 species